GACGAACGCUGGCGGCGUGCUUAACACAUGCAAGUCGAGCGAGGUCCAUCCGGUGGCAACACCGGUGAAGACCUAGCGGCGAACGGGUGAGUAACACGUGAGCAACCUGCCCCGAAGUCUGGGAUAACACCGGGAAACCGGUGCUAAUACCGGAUGUCCUCCCUUGGUCGCAUGGCCUUGGGAAGAAAGACUGAGUCUCAUAAACUCAGCCGCUUCGGGAGGGGCUCGCGGGCUAUCAGCUUGUUGGUGAGGUAACGGCUCACCAAGGCGACGACGG
rnacentral:rRNA from 1 species